rnacentral:tRNA from 1 species
GGGCGCGUGGUCUAUCGGUAUGACGUCGCCUUCACACGGCGGAGGUAGUCGGUUCAAUUCCGGCCGCGCCCA